UAUAACACUCGUAUUGUUCGCU
rnacentral:miRNA from 1 species